UUAUACUGAAGUUGAGUGUAGUGUUCUAUUAAUGGCAAGUAGGUCAAGUUGACUGAUAGAGUGUAUUAGGGCUCAUAUCUUUACUGAUUUUCUAUCAGCAGUCUAUCGAUUGCUGAGGGAAGAAUACUGAAAUCUUCUACUAUAAUUAUAGAUGUGUCUGUUUCUCCUUUGAGUUCUCUUAGUAGUUUCUUUAUGCAUUUUCAAGCUUUGUUAUUAGGUGCAUAUAUAUUUCAAACUAUUAUGUUUCUGAUGAAAUUGAAAUAUUUCAUCAGAAAUAUUCAGACCCCACAGGUUAAGGGCUCCAUCCCACAAGACUGCCCCUCCCUUCACACUCCAAUCUCAAGUCUGGGCCUCCUGUACUUCUGACCAACUGACUGUAAAUCAGGAAUUCCCAUAAUCCUCUCCUUGCUUGGUUUUGAUAAUUUGCUAUCUGCUGUCUAGUAUCUGAAAACAGUGUUUUAUAUGUUUUUGUCCAGCUUUAUCAUUCUCUUUUAUCAAGGUAAGACCAGUUACUCCAUCAUGGCUGGAACUAGAAGUUCAUUUAAAGAGUUCUGGAGUGGAGAUCUAGUCACUGUGAAUAAGGGAGAUCUGUUGAAUAAUAUCCUGACGUUUAUCUUAAGAACUUUAAAGAACCUUUAGAGUCAUCACAAAAAGUUAUAGCUCUAUCUUAUAUCAAGAUUGAUUGAUACACUGUUUUAGUUUAAGACCAUUUCUAAGGGUGUGGAUAUGGAGACAGGAACUUGUCCCUUAUUACAUAAGUAGUGGCUUGCCCAUACUUUUUGUUGAUUUUGUUGUCAUUCUUACUCUGGUUAUUGUCAUGAUUAUUUAUUUUGUGAACUCUGCCAAUAGUGUGAAAGCUUGAAGUAUGAAACUAUGAAGUUUGCCAGUGAAAGUUCAACAGUAGACAUAGUUGGUAGGAUGUAUAGUUUACUGGCUGAUAAUACUUGUCAGAAGGUAUUAUUCAGGAAGGAACACAGACUAUAGUCACAGUGGUAGGAAUCAUCCUGAUGCAUUUAACACCUUGCACAAUAAAAU